GUCAUUGUGUCUGGCUGUUCCCUGCAGUGGUGGGCACGGAGCAGCCAGGGCACAGCUCUGCAGCCCUAGCCAUACAGUCCCUGCAGGACAGAAAAGGGGCACGGAGUGGGAGGGAACCAUAGAAUCAUCGAAUCCUUAAGGUGGGAAAAGACCUCUAGGAUCCCCAGUCACAGCCUACUGACCGUAUCCUUCAGUGCCACAUCCCCACAGCUCUGUACACCUCCAGAGACAGUGAAUCCCCCACCUCCCUGGGCAGCUGUGUCAGUGCUGACUGCUCUUUGGAGAAGAAAUACUCCCUAAUAUCCAGGGAGAGGAAGGCAGAGAAGGAUCAUUGCGUGCCCUGACCCCAGUGCAGUCUGACCACGAGAGGGACCUUUACCAGCAAACCUGCAGGACGUUUAACCAAAGUAACCCCGAUGGAAGGAAAAUGGAGCUGUGCUUUACAGCCGACGGUAAGGGUUAAAUGGAAGGGAAGAAAUUCAGAGGCUCAGCUAUGGCCCGGAGCCUGAAGUGGUGCUUCAUCUGCCCAAGGCUGUAAUAAAACCUGAUGGCAAACACUG